rnacentral:rRNA from 1 species
AUUGAACGCUGGCGGCCGGCUUAACACAUGCAAGUAGCACGGAGUGGCGGACGGGUGAGUAAUGCUUGGGAAUCUGCCUGGUAGUGGGGGAUAACGUCCGGAAACGGGCGCUAAUACCGCAUACUAGCAGAUGAGCCUAGGUCGGAGUAGCUAGUUGGUGGGGGAAAGGCCUACCAAGGCGACGAUCCGUAACUGGUCUGAGAGGAUGAUCAGUCACACUUGACUUGAGGCACGGUCCAGAGUCCUACGUGAGGCAGCAGUGGUGAUUAUGGGACAAUGGUCGAAAGCCUGAUCCAGGCAUUCCGCGUGGGUGAAGAAGGUCUGCGGAUUGUAACGCACUUUAAGUUGGGAGGCGUUACCAACAGAAUAAGCACCGGCUAACUUCGUGCCAGCCGCCGCGGUAAUAC